rnacentral:rRNA from 1 species
AUGGAGACCGGCUUCGUGUUUUCUCCGGCGGAUCACGAGCUCACGGACCUCUACCUCGGCGGCCAGAUCGCCGGCCAUCCCGUGUUCUCCACCUUUAUCCACCAUGCCGACGUCUACUCCGCGGCCCCUGCCGAGCUUGUCGCCGGGCGCGAGCACGUGCGCGACCGCGACGGCAACGAGAAGAAGAAGAGCAAGCUGCGCACAAUCGACGACGACCCCAGCAAGAGUUACUGGCACUCCGAGUCCGGCAAGAAACCCGUGGAGGGCAGCGCCGUCGGCGGGUACGUGCAGGACUUCGUCUAUGCGAUCAAGAAGGACGGCCACGUCGAGAGGCUCGGGUGGCGCAUGAAGGAGUACGGCCUCUCGACGGAGCAUGGCGACGGCGACUUCCUGGAGUAA